UACAGAGGUCUCAAGCGUUGUUCGGAUUCACUGGGCGUAAAGGGCGCGUAGGCGGCCUGCUAAGUCGAACGUGAAAUCCCCGGGCUCAACCCGGGAACUGCGUCCGAUACUGGUAGGCUUGAAUUCGGGAGAGGGAUGCGGAAUUCCAGGUGUAGCGGUGAAAUGCGUAGAUAUCUGGAGGAACACCGGUGGCGAAGGCGGCCCCCUGGGCCCUAAAAACCCUUUUCAUGGGAAACCAUGAGGAAACCUGACGCUGAGGCGCGAAGGCUAGGGGAGCGAACGGG
rnacentral:rRNA from 1 species